UGGUGGAGUGAUUUGUCUGGUUAAUUCCGUUAACGAACGAGACCUCGACCUACUAAAUAGUGAGACAAACCCUUUUGGGUUUGGACUAACUUCUUAGAGGGACUUUUGGUGAGUAGCCAAAGGAAGUUCGAGGCAAUAACA
rnacentral:rRNA from 1 species